rnacentral:rRNA from 1 species
UACAGAGGGUGCGAGCGUUAAUCGGAAUUACUGGGCGUAAAGCGUGCGCAGGCGGUUUUGUAAGUUUGUCGUGAAAUCCCCGGGCUUAACCUGGGAACUGCAUUUGUGACUGCAUCGCUGGAGUGCGGCAGAGGGGGAUGGAAUUCCGCGUGUAGCAGUGAAAUGCGUAGAUAUGCGGAGGAACACCGAUGGCGAAGGCAAUCCCCUGGGCCUGCACUGACGCUCAUGCACGAAAGCGUGGGGAGCAAACAGG